AAAAUUUUCAAAAAAAAAUUUACCGUUUGGCGUUGGGCCCACCACCAAAUUUCUCCCACUAACUCCACUUUAUAACUCAUUCACUCUUCAUAAACCUUUUCUCUUACCUAUUCUCUCACCUUUAUCUCUCUCUCUCUCUCUCUCAAAAACACCUAAAAACCUCCAUUUUUCUUCACAUAAAGCUUCAUCCUUUUACCUCAUAACUCCAUCAAAUAUCCAUCGACCUUCACAAAAGCUUAUUCAUUUUCCAUCCUCUACCUUCCUACG
rnacentral:lncRNA from 1 species